rnacentral:rRNA from 1 species
GACGAACGCUGGCGGCGUGCCUAAUACAUGCAAGCCGAACGAAGCUUUUUUAACUGGUGCUUGCACCGACUUAAACAACUGAGUGGCGAACGGGUGAGUAACACGUGGGUAACCUGCCCCAAAGCGGGGAUAACAUUUGGAAACAGAUGCUAAUACCGCAUAACCACAGAAACCACAUGGUUUCUGUGUCAAAGAUGGUUUCGGCUAUCACUUUGGGAUGGACCCGCGGCGUAUUAGCUAGUUGGUAAGGUAAUGGCUUACCAAGGCAAUGAUACGUAGCCGAACUGAUAGGUGGAUCGGCCACAUUGGGACUGAGACACGGCCCAAACUCCUACGGGAGGCAGCAGUAGGGAAUCUUCCACAAUGGACGAAAGUCUGAUGGAGCAACGCCGCGUGAGUGAAGAAGGUUUUCGGAUCGUAAAACUCUGUUGUCAGAGAAGAACGUGUGCGAGAGUAACUGUUCGUGCAGUGACGGUAUCUGGCCAGAAAGCCACGGCUAACUACGUGCCAGCAGCCGCCCGUAA